rnacentral:rRNA from 1 species
UACAGAGGUCCCAAGCGUUGUUCGGAUUCACUGGGCGUAAAGGGUGCGUAGGCGGUCGGGUAAGUCUGAUGUGAAAGCUCGGAGCUCAACUCCGAAAUGGCAUCGGAUACUAUUCGGCUCGAGGAAUGGAGGGGAGACUGGAAUACUUGGUGUAGCAGUGAAAUGCGUAGAUAUCAAGUGGAACACCAGUGGCGAAGGCGAGUCUCUGGACAUUUCCUGACGCUGAGGCACGAAAGCCAGGGGAGCAAACGGG